rnacentral:rRNA from 1 species
GUGGGGAAUAUUGGACAAUGGGCGAAAGCCUGAUCCAGCCAUGCCGCGUGUGUGAAGAAGGUCUUCGGAUUGUAAAGCACUUUAAGUUGGGAGGAAGGGUAGUAACCUAAUACGUUGCUACUUUGACGUUACCGACAGAAUAAGCACCGGCUAACUUCGUGCCAGCAGCCGCGGUAAUACGAAGGGUGCAAGCGUUAAUCGGAAUUACUGGGCGUAAAGCGGGCGUAGGUGGUUCAGUAAGUUGGAAGUGAAAGCCCCGGGCUCAACCUGGGAACUGCCUUCAAUACUGCUGAGCUAGAGUACGGUAGAGGGUGGUGGAAUUUCCUGUGUAGCGGUGAAAUGCGUAGAUAUAGGAAGGAACACCAGUGGCGAAGGCGACCACCUGGACUGAUACUGACACUGAGGUGCGAAAGCGUGGGGAGCAAACAGGAUUAGAUACCCUUGUAGUCC